UAAAGAGGGUGCGAGCGAGAAUCGGAAUUACUGGGCGUAAAGCGCACGUAGGUGGCGACGUAAGUCGGGUGUGAAAGCCCCGGGCUCAACCUGGGAAUUGCAUUCGAGACUGCAUUGCUGGAGUACGGAAGAGGAGGGCGGAAUUCCCGGUGUAGCGGUGAAAUGCGUAGAUAUCGGGAGGAAAAUCAGUGGCGAAGGCGGCCCUCUGGUCCAGUACUGACACUCAAGUGCGAAAGCGUGGGGAGCAAACAGG
rnacentral:rRNA from 1 species